CCUACGGGAGGCAGCAGUGAGGAAUAUUGGUCAAUGGGCGAGAGCCUGAACCAGCCAAGUCGCGUGAAGGAUGACGGCCCUACGGGUUGUAAACUUCUUUUGUCAGGGAGCAAUUGAGUCCACGUGUGGGCUUAGCGAGAGUACCUGAAGAAAAAGCAUCGGCUAACUCCGUGCCAGCAGCCGCGGUAAUACGGAGGAUGCGAGCGUUAUCCGGAUUUAUUGGGUUUAAAGGGUGCGUAGGCGGAAUGCCAAGUCAGCGGUAAAAUCGCGGGGCUCAACCUCGCACCGCCGUUGAAACUGGCGUU
rnacentral:rRNA from 1 species